CGCUUGUGCCAGCGAACCUUGUAAAAAUGAAGGUGUUUGUACAACUGUUGGAUCUUCUUAUAACUGUAAAUGUAAAUAUGGUUUCACUGGAAUGAAUUGCCAGACCCUUGUUCAUCCUGUCUGCGUGAACGCUAAUUGGGGGAUAUCUUUCAAAAAAGAAGGAUGGUCGACAUGUGGUCCCCAAAACAAGUUAAUCACUGGCUUUUAUCGCAACAGCGUAAUUAAGGAUGAUGGACUCGACCGUCUUGAACAAGCAAAAUGCUGCCCGUUAAGUCCAAAAUAUUUCGCC